rnacentral:misc_RNA from 1 species
CUUACGACGGCACCAGCCCCAGUAA